UCGAAACCUGCCUAGCAGUACAACUAGUGAACAUGUUUUAAACAUCUGGUAGGGAGGGGUUGCUGGUUUGCCAGUCCUUCCCUAUCGUCGGGGGGUAUUACUUAGGUGGUGCUCCCUGGCACAAUAACGAAACCCCGGCGCGUAAGCGCCAAGGAACAUAAAAUAGGAGUGUGCCUGUCCUUGCCCGGGCUUCCGGUGCAAAGAUUUGACACCUAAUCUAAGUCAUAAAAUGACUCUCGGCAACGGAUAUCUCGGCUCUCGCAUCGAUGAAGAACGUAGCGAAAUGCGAUACUUGGUGUGAAUUGCAGAAUCCCGUGAACCAUCGAGUUUUUGAACGCAAGUUGCGCCCGAAGCCUUCUGGCCAGGGCACGCCUGCCUGGGCGUCACGCAUAGCGUCUCCCCUACCCACCAAUUUUGGGCAGGAGAGGAUGAUGGCCUCCCACGCCACACCAGGCAUGGCUGGCCUAAAUACGGAGCCCUCGGACAACAAAUGCCGCGGCAAUAGGUGGUACACAAGGCAUUUGCCUCGAAAGCAUCGUGUCGUGCAUCUUGUUGCCCUUUUGUGCUCGAAGGACCCCUAUAAACCUUUGCGACCCCAGGUCAGGCGGGGUUACCCG
rnacentral:rRNA from 1 species